rnacentral:lncRNA from 1 species
UUUUUUUUUUUCUCUUUUUCUUUUCCCUUAUUUUUUUCUACUGGGGAGUUGGACUCCCUGCUCCUCAUUCACCCCUUCCAAUUCAAGAUACUCAAUGAUUUGACAAUUCCACCUCUUCCAGAAGCUGGAUUUUUUUGAAAAUAAGGAUGCUUUUCACUCCAGCACCAGGAUUAAAUCCCAGAAUGCCAGAAAUGGGUGGGGAACCACCAACCAGAGCAGCAGGCUCUGAGCAUCCCCUCUCCAACCCUGUGCCCCCAUGGAGAGCAUCUCAUCCCUGAGCUUGGACAGGCUCAGAUCCCUGCAGGAAGGGAUCCUCCCUCCUGGCACAGCCCUUGAUUUGAGCUUUUUCUCUCCCUGCUUUGCUCUGCUCCUGCUGGAGGCUCUUGGCUGUCCCGGCACAGAGGGAGGUGCUGCGGAGCUGUGCUGGGAACAGGUUUGGGAAAAGGUGAGCACUUCAUCACCCACAGCUGUGGUUCUGCGGUGGGACAACUGGAAACAAGACAUAAUGAAAGCCACUGACACAGUGCUCCAAGACUGGGAAGCUCAAAUCCAUCACAAAAGCAGUGGCAAAGACCAAGAACUGAAGAAAAGCAAUUUCUCACCUAAUUCAGGCAUCUUGAGAAGACUUUACCAGUAACCAGAGGUUUAUCUAUCUCCAUAAAAUCCCCUCCAGACAUUUGUGAGCUCCUGUCACUGCUGUCAUCCACCACAUCCAUGGUGCCCCUACCCAAAAUAACCAAAAUAACCUUUUUUUUCCCAUUCUACCCCUUUGAAUCUCAACCUGAGGCCUCCUAACUUUGGUAAACAUGUCACAAUAUUCUUCUCCUUUGUUUCUUUUUUUUCCUCUUUAUCCAAAGAGGGAGUAAAUCUCCCUUAAUUUUCUCCAGUUUGCAUGAGGUUUUGAGAUUUAUGGUUGCUAUUAAAUGUAACAAAGGCAACCUGGCAAAAGGUCCACCAAUCUGCAUGAUGGAGCUGUAACAACUGAGAACACAUUAUUAUUAUUUGGCUUUUAAUAUUAUAAUUUUAUUAACUUAGAGAACACGCUUUGAAAUCAUGCCAGGAAUUCACAUUAAAUCCCUAAAAUGAAUAAAAUGAGUGAGACAGAGACGUGGCUCUUAAGC